rnacentral:rRNA from 1 species
CCCUUAGACGUUCUGGGCCGCACGCGCGCUACACUGACCAGUGCAACAAGCAUCCGUCCUUGGCCGACAGGCCCGGGCAAUCUUUGAACGCUGGUCGUGAUGGGGAUAGACUUUUGCAAUUUUUGGUCUUCAACGAGGAAUGCCUAGUAGGCGCAAGUCAUCAGCUUGCGUCGAUUACGUCCCUGCCCUUUGUACACACCGCCCGUCGCUCCUACCGAUUGGGUGUGCUGGUGAAAUGUUCGGAUCGGCCGUUUGUCGCGGUUUCCGCGUCAUGUGGCUGAGAAGUUCAUUAAACCCUCCCACCUAGAGGAAGGAGAAGUCGUAACA